AAGUCGUAACAAGGUUUCCGUAGGUGAACCUGCGGAAGGAUCAUUACCAAAUCCAAAAAAAACUUUCUAUCAACACCCCAAUGUGAACUGAGAAUGGUUUCGUCCCUCCGAAUUCUUCUCUUCUUCGGAAGAAAGGGAGGAGGAGGGAUGUUCAAACACAUUUUUUUUUUCAACCCCUUUUCAACCAUUAAAACCCCAUUUUUUUAAUGCUGAAAGCAAAACAAAAAAUACGAAACAUGAGACAACUUUUAACGGUGGAUCUCUUGGCUCGU
rnacentral:misc_RNA from 1 species